GACGAAAUCAGCAAAGGGGGAAGCCAUAGUUAGGGUUUUCAAGCUUCCAAGCUCCAUAAUCAAGAAGAACGAAACUCGAGGUUAGACAAAGGGAAGAAUAAAGUUGAAGACUAAGUUGGUGAAUUGGACUAUAUUUGAUACCGAGUAUUGCAAGCUACUUCAAGAAUCCUAAAGAAGUCGGAGAUCGUCCACACUAUCAACCACAACUGCUCGGUAUUUUAUGAUGAAAUACGUUGAAGUUAUGGCAUGUAUAGGGAUUUAGUUAUUUUGCAUGUUUGUAAUUAUGAUUGUGCUAACAAAUGCUGUGUAAGCAUUUGAUGAUGUAUGGUCAUUAAAAUGGUUAAGUAUGAAGGUGUUUGUUGUUAUGAAAGAUUAGGUGAUAAAUUAUGCAUGGAAAUCAUGAAAGGAUAAAAUUUUGCAAAGAAACAGAAUUCAGGCAGCACAGUGACGUGAAUUUGAAAAAUCACCUAGGAUGGUAUA